UGGGGUAUAGCUCAGUGGUGGAGUGUGUGCUUAGCAUACACAAGGUACUGGGUUCAAUCCCCAGCACCUCCA
rnacentral:tRNA from 1 species